rnacentral:rRNA from 1 species
UACGUAGGGUGCGAGCGUUGUCCGGAAUUAUUGGGCGUAAAGAGCUCGUAGGCGGUCUGUCGCGUCUGCUGUGAAAACUCAGGGCUUAACCCUGAGCUUGCAGUGGGUACGGGCAGACUAGAGUGCGGUAGGGAGACUGGAAUUCCGUGGUGUAAGCGGUGAAAUGCGCAGAUAUCAGGAGGAACACCGGUGGCGAAGGCGGGUCUCUGGGCCGUAAACUGACGCUGGAGGAGCGAAAGCAUGGGAGCGAACAGG